AUUGAACGCUGGCGGCAGGCCUAACACAUGCACGUCGAACGAGUGGCGGACGGGUGAGUAAUGUCUGGGAAACUGCCUGAUGGAGGGGGAUAACUACUGGAAACGGUAGCUAAUACCGCAUACCCUCGGAUGUGCCCAGAUGGGAUUAGCUAGUAGGUGGGGUAACGGCUCACCUAGGCGACGAUCCCUAGCUGGUCUGAGAGGAUGACCAGCAACACGGGAACUGAGACACGGGCCAGACUCCUACGGGAGGCAGCAGUGGGGAAUAUUGCACAAUGGGCGCAAGCCUGAUGCAGCCAUGCCGCGUGUAUGAAGAAGGCCGUCGGGUUGUAAAGUACUUUCAGCGGGGAGGUGUUACCCGCAGAAGAAGCACCGGCUAACUCCGUGCCAGCAGCCGCGGUAAUUC
rnacentral:rRNA from 1 species